CUAAUGGGAGAAGGAAAACUGGUUAGCCAAAAUGACCUGUGAGCUAUCACCAACCCUGACAUGCUGGGAUUCUAUGGAAGGUUUUAUAUUGCAAAGAAAGGUUAAGUCCCCAUUUGACAGAUAUUUUUGAUUGAUGCCAUCAUGAAGUAAAGAUUAGAGAAUGACAAAAUAAUAGAAUUUACCAGAUGCUGAAUCAGAAGUAUUUUCUCCUUUUGGAAAGUAAUGUGCCUCACGAUUGCCUCCACACGUGCCUUCGAGGUUAGCUGGUCAGAAUGAGAUUGCUUAGAGUGGCCAGAGAAGGCAAAGAUGUUCUUAUGUCCUGAAUAUGCUUUUUCUUGAAAUCAUGUUUUGCUCUUUUAAAAUCAGUUUAAAGAUACAUUCUCUUUUUCUGGUUUGGCCCCCUAGCAUUUUUUAUAUGUUCUGUUGAGAUAAGUAUUGCUUAAAUGAAUCGUUUAUUGAAGGAAA
rnacentral:lncRNA from 1 species